rnacentral:rRNA from 1 species
AGUAAACGGCGGCCGUAACUAUAACGGUCCUAAGGUAGCGAAAUUCCUUGUCGGGCAAGUUCCGACCUGCACGAAUGGCAUAAUAAUGGCCACACUGUCUCCUCCCGAGACUCAGUGAAAUUGAAAUGUUUGUGAUGAUGCAAUCUCCCCGCGGCUAGACGGAAAGACCCCAUGAACCUUAACUGUAGCUUUGCAUUGGACUUUGAACCGAUCUGUGUAGGAUAGGCGGGAGGCUUUGAAGAAUGGACGCCAGUUCAUUCGGAGCCGUCGUUGAAAUACCGCCCUGAUUUGUUUGAGGUUCUAACCUGGGCCAGUGAUCCUGGCUGGGGACCGUGCAUGGUGGGCAGUUUGACUGGGGCGGUCUCCUCCUAAAGGGUAACGGAGGAGUGCGAAGGUACGCUAAUCACGGUCGGAAAUCGUGAGGAUACUGCAAUGGGAAAAGCGUGCCUGACUGCGAGACAGACAAGUCGAGCAGAUGCGAAAGCAGGUCAUAGUGAUCCGGUGGCUUCUGUAUGGAAGGGCCAUCGCUCAACGGAUAAAAGGUACUCCGGGGAUAACAGGCUGAUACCGCCCAAGAGUUCAUAUCGACGGCGGUGUUUGGCCCCUCGAUGUCGGCUCAUCUCAUCCUGGGGCUGUAGCCGGUCCCAAGGGUAUGGCUGUUCGCCAUUUAAAGAGGUACGUGAGCUGGGUUUAAAACGUCGUGAGACAGUUUGGUCCCUAUCUACCGCGGGCGCUGGAAGAUUGACAGGGGCUGCUCCUAGUACGAGAGGACCGGAGUGGACGCACCUCUGGUGUAUCGGUUGUGACGCCAGUCGCAUUGCCGAGUAGCUAUGUGCGGAAGAGAUAACCGCUGAAAGCAUCUAAGCGGGAAACUUGCCUGAAGAUUAGUCUUCCCGGAGGCUUGACCUCCCUGAAGGGUCGUCCGAGACCAGGACGUUGAUAGGCCAGGUGUGGAAGCGCUGUGAGGCGUGAAGCUAACUGGUACUAAUUGCCCGUGAGGCUUGAUCCU